GAUGAGAGAAGUAUGCUGGGACUAUGGCAAUGAGUCACCAUCACCAUGAGUCCAGGCACGAGCCUAUCGAUUGUCCCUGAAUCGUGGGCUCCACAGAGAUGGACCGGCUGGAGGUGUCGAGGAACACUAUGGAGCCAAGGAACACUGUGGAACAUUUUCCUACAGCUACUGGAUGAUUACUAGUCAUUCUCCUGGGGGGCAAUGACAUCAGCUUGCUGCAUGGCAAGGCCUUGGUACCCCACAUCAUUCCCGGGGUGGUGGUGAUGACAUCAGCUUGUGCUAGUCAUUCUAACGGGCAAUAUCAGCUAGUCACUGCGGGAUGAUUACACCCCUGGGGCCAACACAUGUGCCAGUCAUGUGCCGGUGAGCAAUGACAUCGGCUAGUCAUUCACCUGGGGGGCAAUGACACUGGCUUGCUGCGGGGCAAGGCCUUAGUACUAGUCAUUCACCUAGGGGGAAAAUGACACCGUCUUGCUGCUGGAGCUGACACAUUGCUGCUGGAUAAUUACACCACCGGGGACAAAACACGUGCUAGUCGUUUGCCUGGGGGCAAUGACCGGCUUGCUGCGGGGCAUGGCCUUGAUCCUGCAUCCUGGCAUUCUGGUUCAGGACGCUUCGGUGUACAGGGGGAAUGGAGUACAUUUGACUGAUCGAGAAAAUGAACUGUUCUUAUGGGACUUGCAGCAAGAUAUUCAGGAAGCACUAGUGGGGUGGGGUAAGAGGGUCUAAACAGAGGCUUGCCCCACUUUUGUGGCAGAAGUGUUGGGUACAUAGAUUUAUUAAUAGUGUUCAGCUGGAGGGCUAUUUGGGGGUGAGGGGGGGGCAAGCAACAGCCCUUCAGGGUUUUUGCAGCCUGGAGGGCUAGAAAUGGCCCCCCGCUCAGUGGGUGGCUCGACUCACCAACUCAGAGUUUGGCAGCUUGAGUUGGGGGUAGGUCAGGUUGCCCCCCCGCAGCGGGGGAAAGCCUCAUGGUGAGAGGAAGUCAGGACCUCAGGAAGUCAGGAAGUCAGGACUGAAUUAGUACCCGGCCCUUCGCCCUGGUGUGGGAUGGCCCUCCCUAGGAGGCAGUCCCACAAAGGAGGAGUACCCACACUCUGAUUAGUUAGGUACUUCAUUACAAGUCUUAUUCUGCUGUACAUUAAUAAAGUGACCCUAUUUUA